rnacentral:rRNA from 1 species
AGUGAACGCUGGCGGUAGGCCUAACACAUGCAAGUCGAACGGCAGCACAGUAAGAGCUUGCUCUUACGGGUGGCGAGUGGCGGACGGGUGAGGAAUACAUCGGAAUCUACUUUUUCGUGGGGGAUAACGUAGGGAAACUUACGCUAAUACCGCAUACGACCUACGGGUGAAAGCAGGGGAUCUUCGGACCUUGCGCGAUUGAAUGAGCCGAUGUCGGAUUAGCUAGUUGGCGGGGUAAAGGCCCACCAAGGCGACGAUCCGUAGCUGGUCUGAGAGGAUGAUCAGGCACGCUGGAAGGGAGACACGGUCCAGACUCCUACGGGAGGCAGCAGUGGGGAAUAUUGGACAAUGGGCGCAAGCCUGAUCCAGCCAUACCGCGUGGGUGAAGAAGGCCUUCGGGUUGUAAAGCCCUUUUGUUGGGAAAGAAAAGCAGCAGGUUAAUACCCCGCUGUUCUGACGGUACCCAAAGAAUAAGCACCGGCUAACUUCGU